rnacentral:misc_RNA from 1 species
GUUGUUGAUGUUUUGGUCCUUGCUGCUGCAGCUGCAGCUGCAUAUUGCUGUUGCUUUUGAAGCAUUAUCUGUUGUUGUUGCUGCUGCUGAUUUCGCUGCAGUGGAUGCUGAGAACUACACAUGUUUACAGUGCCCAUCCCAGAGGGCAUAACGGAACCUGAAGCUCUAGCAGUAGAACCAAGGUUUAGAGUUCUAGCAGAGCUGUCA